GUGAGUCCCAUGCAAAGGACAAUUGCCACCCAGUAGCAAUUAUCACCUGCUCACUAAACUGGGUCCAGUUACUUUUAACUCUCAGAGAAGAGAAAAGUCGAGGGUGAGACUGAAUUACACUUGGCCAUCUCCAGAGGAUGACCAUCUGCGGUUCAAUAAGGGUUCAGCUAAAUAAAACAGGACUGGCAGGUCUGCUGAGAGCUGAAGUAAGGUCCCCAGAAUAUGAUGUAACUGAAAACGUGUGAAAAAGAAUGAAGGGAAACUAAGAAGACAGUACUGAAUAAGUUCCAGUUCCAGUGCAAAGAAAUUACAGAAAAGAAGCCACAUCUAAACUAUCAAAUGAGAAAUAUAAAGACUUAUCACUUUGGACUUCUGUGGCCUCAAAGACAUAUAUGGAGAUCUUUUUUUAAGUUUCUGCUUUCUUGGAAAGUUAACUCCUUACAAACCUAAAAGAGAAGUUAGUGAUUCUUGGAGAAAAGUGGACAAUGAAAGCCAUCAUAUCAAAUACCUCUG
rnacentral:lncRNA from 1 species